rnacentral:rRNA from 1 species
GAUGAACGCUGGCGGCGUGCUUAACACAUGCAAGUCGAACGAAGCACUUGGAUCUCUUCGGAGUGACGGGUGACUGAGUGGCGGACGGGUGAGUAACGCGUGGGUAACCUGCCUCGUACAGGGGGACAACAGUUGGAAACGACUGCUAAUACCGCAUAAGCGCACAGUAUCGCAUGAUACAGUGUGAAAAGCUGAGGCGGUACGAGAUGGACCCGCGUUGGAUUAGCUAGUUGGUGGGGUAACGGCCUACCAAGGCGACGAUCCAUAGCCGACCUGAGAGGGUGACCGGCCACAUUGGGACUGAGACACGGCCCAAACUCCUACGGGAGGCAGCAGUGGGGAAUAUUGCACAAUGGGCGAAAGCCUGAUGCAGCGACGCCGCGUGAGCGAUGAAGUAUUUCGGUAUGUAAAGCUCUAUCAGCAGGGAAGAAAAUGACGGUACCUGACUAAGAAGCUCCGGCUAAAUACGUGCCAGCCGCCGCAGUAAUAC